rnacentral:rRNA from 1 species
UACGGGAGGCAGCAGUGGGGAAUAUUGCACAAUGGGCGCAAGCCUGAUGCAGCCAUGCCGCGUGUAUGAAGAAGGCCUUCGGGUUGUAAAGUACUUUCAGUCGUGAGGAAGGUGUUAAGGUUAAUAACCUUAGCAAUUGACGUUAGCGACAGAAGAAGCACCGGCUAACUCCGUGCCAGCAGCCGCGGUAAUACGGAGGGUGCGAGCGUUAAUCGGAAUUACUGGGCGUAAAGGGCACGCAGGCGGUUAAUUAAGUUGGAUGUGAAAUCCCCGGGCUUAACCUGGGAAUGGCAUUCAAGACUGGUUAGCUAGAGUCUUGUAGAGGGGGUAGAAUUCCAUGUGUAGCGGUGAAAUGCGUAGAGAUGUGGAGGAAUACCGGUGGCGAAGGCGGCCCCCGUGGACAAAGACUGACGCUCAUGUGCGAAAGCGUGGGGAGCAAACAGGGAUUAGAUACC